GCAAGGAACAGAGAUGGAUGGCCAGAGCACCUUGACACCAGUUGACCAGUUGGAAGUGGAAUUACUACAAGGUCUUUGGUUCCUCACCACUAUUGACCUGGAGGACAACAAAUACCCUUCAGAUGAAGACUUUGGAGAUCUCUCCUAUUUGGAAGAGGAUGACUUAGAGGGUGCAGACAGUUCAGAUAGUGACCCAGACUAUGUAACAAGAAUUUGUAUUAGAACCGGUGGGGCACUGGAAACGGCAUUGAAUGUGAAUGAUCUACCGGAAGUAAACAUGGAACAGAUUCUCUAUGAUCUGGAUACCGAGGUGGAGGAGGAGCAAGAGGAGCUGGAGGGAGAAACAUCAACUCAUGCUGAAAAGUUUCCUGUGGAAAUGAAAGGUAUGUGUGAAGAAGACAUCAUUGGUGUACCUGCAUCUAUUGUGUAUCACCACAGUCUGAGGCAGCUGGUACAGUAUCUGAGCAUUCCAACCAAAGUAUGCAAAAGGAUGGACAGGGCCGCCAGGCAGCUGUUGUUAAAUGGGUAA
rnacentral:lncRNA from 1 species